rnacentral:tRNA from 1 species
GGCGAGGUAGCUCAGUUGGCAGAGCAUCGGACUCAUAAUCCGCUGCUCCGCAAAAAAUAAUAAAAAAAAUCCACAAAAAUUUUGUGGAUUUUCUUUUUUUAAGGAUUAUUAAGAAAUUCUAUAAAUAAUUAUUGGAUCCAACCAUAAGCUCGAUGAGUCUCUUUUAAUUCAUCUUCGCCA